rnacentral:rRNA from 1 species
CCCGACUCCUACGGGAGGCAGCAGUAGGGAAUUUUGCGCACUGGGCGAAAGCCUGCCGCAGCAACCCCGCUUGAAUGUUCAGCCCUUCGGGGUGUCCCUUUCUGUCAGUAUUUCAGAACAAAUGCCUGUACCUACCCCUUCCGCACCGGCUCCCUCCGUGCCAUCCUCCUCGGUAAUCCUGUUGGUGCAAGCGUUGUCCGGAAUCCUUGUGCGUAAAGCGUUCGUAGGCGGUAAAGUAAGUCAGAGGUUAAAGCCCGGGGCGAAACUCCGGUUCGGCAUUUGAUACUACUUAACUAGAAUGCGGUAGAGGGAAAGGGAAUUCCUGGUGUAGCGGUGAAAUGCGUAGAUAGCAGGAGGAACAUCGGUGGCGAAAGCGCGUUACUGGGCCGUUAUUGACGCUGAGGAACGAAAGCCGGGGGAGCAAAUGGGAUUAGAUACCCCCGUAUU